GAUGAACGCUGGCGGCGUGCCUAAUACAUGCCAGUCGAGCGAACAGACGAGGAGCUUGCUCCUCUGACGUUAGCGGCGGACGGGUGAGUAACACGUGGAUAACCUACCUAUAAGACUGGGAUAACUUCGGGAAACCGGAGCUAAUACCGGAUAACAUGUUGAACCGCAUGGUUCAACAGUGAAAGACGGUCUUGCUGUCACUUAUAGAUGGAUCCGCGCCGCAUUAGCUAGUUGGUAAGGUAACGGCUUACCAAGGCAACGAUGCGUAGCCGACCUGAGAGGGUGAUCGGCCACACUGGAACUGAGACACGGUCCAGACUCCUACGGGAGGCAGCAGUAGGGAAUCUUCCGCAAUGGGCGAAAGCCUGACGGAGCAACGCCGCGUGAGUGAAGAAGGUCUUCGGAUCGUAAAACUCUGUUAUUAGGGAAGAACAAAUGUGUAAGUAACUAUGCACGUCCUGACGGUACCUAAUCAGAAAGCCACGGCUAACUACGUG
rnacentral:rRNA from 1 species